rnacentral:rRNA from 1 species
GUCCACGCCCUAAACGAUGUCGACUGGUUGUUGGGGGUUUGACACUCUCAGUAACGAAGCUAACGCGUGAAGUCGACCGCCUGGGGAGUACGGCCGCAAGGUUAAAACUCAAAGGAAUUGACGGGGACCCGCACAAGCGGUGGAUUAUGUGCAUUAAUUCGAUGCAACGCGAAAAACCUUACCUACCCUUGACAUGUCCGGAAGGCUCUCGAAAGGGGGCUGUGCCCGAAAGGGAACUGGAACACAGGUGCUGCAUGGCUGUCGU